rnacentral:rRNA from 1 species
UACGUAGGGAGCGAGCGUUGUCCGGAAUCACUGGGCGUAAAGCGCACGUAGGCGGAUCUUUAAGUCAGAGGUGAAAUCCCAAGGCUCAACCUUGGAACUGCCUUUGAUACUGGGGAUCUCGAGUCCGGAAGAGGUGAGUGGAACUGCGAGUGUAGAGGUGAAAUUCGUAGAUAUUCGCAAGAACACCAGUGGCGAAGGCGGCUCACUGGUCCGGUACUGACGCUGAGGUGCGAAAGCGUGGGGAGCAAACAGG